AUUGAACGCUGGCGGUAUGCUUAACACAUGCAAGUCGAACGGCAGCACGGUCUGUAGUAAUACAGAUGGGUGGCGAGUGGCGGACGGGUGAGUAAUACGCAGGAAUCUGCCCUAUAGAGGGGGAUAACUCGAGGAAACUCGAGCUAAUACCGCAUAGUCUCUACGGAGUAAAGCUGGGGCAACCUGGCGCUAUAGGAGGAGCCUGCGUCUGAUUAGCUAGUUGGUGGGGUAAAGGCCUACCAAGGCGACGAUCAGUAGGUGGUCUGAGGGGAUGAUCACCCACACUGGGACUGAGACACGGCCCAGACUCCUACGGGAGGCAGCAGUGGGGAAUAUUGGACAAUGGGGGCACACCUGAUCCAGCAAUACCGCGUGUGUGAAGAAGGCCUUAGGGUUGUAAAGCACUUUAGGCGGGGAAGAAGGUAUGUAUUUUAAGAGAUAACAUAUUUGACGGUACCCGAAGAAUAAGCACCGGCUAACUCUGUGCCAGCAGCCGCCGUAA
rnacentral:rRNA from 1 species